rnacentral:lncRNA from 1 species
AAAAAUGCUAUAUGAGUGGUCUUAUAGUGUAUAUUUUCUAUACAAAACUUAUAUUAAUGAUUACAAUAAUAUAUAAUGCAUAAUGCUAUUUUAGAUUACACAGCAAUAAUGCCAUUUUAUAUCUGCACAACAACAAUGAAUGUGUGGUUGUAACUCUCCGUCGUUGCAGAACACAAUGCUCAUGACUCUCAUUAUGCACUUUCGUGAGAAUGUUGAUGACGGUAUGUUUCACCUGCUUAUUUGCAGCUCCGAAUUGUACCAAAGACUGCUUGUGCCGAACGGAACUUUCAUUUGCUUUUUUUGUUUUGCACGCGUUUAUUGUUUUGUUUGAGUUGUUAAAUCUAGAGUCAUUCAAUGUGCUGUGUUUUUAGUUGGUUUUUGUUAUAGGUUAUUUAUUAGCCAGGAACUGAUGUUCUCGGCUUCCUUGUUUCUUUUGUUGAGCUUCUGUUUCUUUUCUUUUUUACUUUAUUUUUUUAAUGUGGUUCCGAUAUGGCACACAGCAAUGGAGUGUUUGAGAAUCAUGUUCUGCCAUACAUUUUAUUGUUUUAGUUACAUCUUGUCUUUCAUGUUGCAUUUAAACGUCUCGAGAUUCAUGGUGUGUGCGUGCCUGCUUUAUCGCUUUUUAAGCCGAAAUAAAGAGAAUGUUUCAUAUUUUUAUACCUGCAA